rnacentral:ncRNA from 1 species
UGUGGUUUAAUUCGAUAAUACGCGNAGAACCUUACCAACUCUUGCUAAUUUUUAUAUAAAAUAUUAUAUAAAAAACAGGCGUUGCAUGGCUGUCGUCAGCUCGUGUUGUGAAAUGUUUGGUUAAAUCCUUUAACGAGCGCAACCCCUAUUGUUUACGACGUAAACUCUUCUCAUUUUAUUAAAUAAAUUAGCAACUAACA